GGCUUAUUGAAUAUAAUUUUAGGUCGAGCCUGCCCUAUGAUUUUAAUUAAAUGGCUGCGGUAUUUUGACCGUGCAAAGGUAGCAUAAUCAUUAGUUUUUUAAUUGAAAGCUUGUAUGAAAGGUUUGAUGAGAAAAUAACUGUCUCUAUUUAAAUUUUUUAGAAUUUUAUUUUUAAGUAAAAAAGCUUAAAUAAAUAUGAAAGACGAGAAGACCCUGUAGAGUUUUAUAUUUUUAUUUAUAUAUGAAAUUUUGGAAUUAUAUAGUUUAUAAAUAAACUUAUUUAGUUGGGGUGAUUGAAAAAUUAAGUAAACUUUUUUUUUAUAAGAACAUUUAUUUUUGAGUUUUUGAUCCUUAAAUAAAGAUUAUAAGAUAAAAUUACCUCAGGGAUAACAGCGUAAUUUUUUUUUAGAGUUCAAAUUAAAAAAAGAGAUUGCGACCUCGAUGUUGGAUUAAAUUUUAUUGUUGGUGUAGAGGCUAAUUAAUUAGGUCUGUUCGACCUUUAAAAUUUUACAUGAUCUGAGUUUAAACCGGUGUAAG
rnacentral:rRNA from 1 species